rnacentral:lncRNA from 1 species
CUUUUAUUUUCAUUUAACAGCAGCUAUUUCAUGUUCCAUAAGAUAAAGGAGCUGAGCAUUUGAAUAAAUUUAUCAGCAACAUGCAUAUCUUUAGCAUAUUCUAACUCAUGUGGUAUUGUUUAGUAUAUUGUGGGUACAAAACUACACAAACAUCAGUUUGACAGAUCAACAAAUGCACAAAUGAAUUAUUCAAUUCAAAGACAAAAGUCUCCAUGCGGCAAAACUAUGAGAUUCAUCCUCGGAUAAUUCGACAGAUUGUAAAAAUGCUUGUCAUGCGGAUUCCUUGUCGCCAUGUAAUUCUAAAGCAAUCCCUAAAAAGGUGUAGGCAUCAUUCGUAUUCCAAUUUGGUAUCAAAUAACUUUCUUCUAUAACAAGUUUUAGACCUUCUAAAGAAUCCUGACACUGUCUAACAUUAUUGAGGUGAUG